rnacentral:rRNA from 1 species
GUGCCUAACACAUGCAAGUCGAACGAAGCAAUCAAAUGAAGUUUUCGGAUGGAUUUUGAUUGACUGAGUGGCGGACGGGUGAGUAACGCGUGGAUAACCUGCCUCACACUGGGGGAUAACAGUUAGAAAUGACUGCUAAUACCGCAUAAGCGCACAGUAUCGCAUGGUACGGUGUGAAAAACUCCGGUGGUGUGAGAUGGAUCCGCGUCUGAUUAGCCAGUUGGCGGGGUAACGGCCCACCAAAGCGACGAUCAGUAGCCGACCUGAGAGGGUGACCGGCCACAUUGGGACUGAGACACGGCCCAAACUCCUACGGGAGGCAGCAGUGGGGAAUAUUGCACAAUGGGGGAAACCCUGAUGCAGCGACGCCGCGUGAGUGAAGAAGUAUUUCGGUAUGUAAAGCUCUAUCAGCAGGGAAGAUAAUGACGGUACCUGACUAAGAAGCCCCGGCUAACUACGUGCCAGCAGCCGCGGUAAUACGUAGGGGGCAAGCGUUAUCCGGAUUUACUGGGUGUAAAGGGAGCGUAGACGGCAUGGCAAGUCUGAAGUGAAAGCCCGGGGCUCAACCCCGGGACUGCUUUGGAAACUGUCAAGCUAGAGUGCAGGAGAGGUAAGUGGAAUUCCUAGUGUAGCGGUGAAAUGCGUAGAUAUUAGGAGGAACACCAGUGGCGAAGGCGGCUUACUGGACUGUAACUGACGUUGAGGCUCGA